AUUGAACGCUGGCGGCAGGCCUAACACAUGCAAGUCGAGCGGAGCGGCGGACGGGUGAGUAAUGCCUAGGAAUCUGACUGGUAGUGGGGGAUAACGACCGGAAACGGGCGCUAAUACCGCAUACUCUCAGAUGAGCCUAGGCCGGAUUAGCUAGUUGGUGGGGUAAAGGCCUACAAAGGCGACGAUCCGUAACUGGUCUGAGGGGAUGAUCAGUCCCACUGGAACUGAGACACGGUCCAGACUCCUACGGGAGGCAGCAGUGGGGACUAUUGGACAAUGUGCGAAAGCCUGAUCCAGCCAUGCCGCGUGUGUGAAGAAGGUCUUCGGGUUGUAAAGCACUUUAAGUUGGGAGGCGUUACCAACAGAAUAAGCACCGGCUAACUUCGUGCCAGCAGCCGCGGUAAUAC
rnacentral:rRNA from 1 species